GGGUAAUGUGAGGCUGUGUGGCCCUUGUUAUCUUUUGGUCGGGAUGAAGAAAUUGGGUGCACAUUGCUGAGUCAUUGCUGGCGAGCACUGUAAGGUCUGUAAGGUAAAAUAUAAAGGCACUGUUGCUCACACAAUCAGCUUGUACGUCUGCCUUUGAAUCUACUUUGCCUAUGGCUUGGGCAGCAACUGAUGGCUGUUUUAUUCCUGAUAUAUUAAUAUGGGCUCCUGAAGUAAUGAUUACAGUGUCUAAGGAGGAAAUGGGGUCCUAUGGGUAUGGCUGACAUCUUCUUUGGAUGUGUUGUUCAGUUAUCUAAAUGAUGAGUAGAAUAUCAAUCAGCUGUGAUAUAAAGUAGCAGACUACCAAAUUGCCUUAACAUUUUUUUUUUUCUAAUAUUUGAAUAUCUUCCAUGUAGAGUCUUCGGUAUGAUCACAGCCCUUGGAGGAAAAAAUGAUUCUUUUAAAAGCACAAAUACUAGAUCAAGGACUUGAUAUAUCCAAGGGAUCUUUUUCUGCCCUGAGCAAGGGUGAAAACUCCAAAGCUCCAAAGCAAUGGAAAUCUCCAGAGAUGUCCACGCCAAAUAGGUUCUUGCCUGUCCUUAUUCAAAAGGCUAUUUAUCCUUCUCAAGGCUUGUGAAGUGAUUUUCAUGAAAUGAAAACCGCUGUUUGCAAAACAAGAAGUCAAGGAGUUUUACUCUGGGAGGCAUCAAAAACAAGAACUGCAAAGUUUUUCAAAAUAAAAUGUUUCAUAUAAGAAAAAAUUGAAAUAAU
rnacentral:lncRNA from 1 species